CUUUUCCCUACUCUUCCUCUAUUUACUGCGAUUUGCAACAACCAACGCCCAUCACAAUUUUAGUAAAAGGCAUUAUACCCUUUUCGACAGUGAUCAGGUCCAUUUCUUUGCGGCUUGCGUACUUUUAUAUGAAUUUGAAUUAUUAUGCUAUAUGAUGUGUAUUAGUUCUGUUUUACAGCAGCAGCAGAUUUUGUUUUAAGGCGGCGCAGUAUCUGAUGAACGGACCGAAUGAAAGUUGCGUGUAGACAGCCUGUGUAAACUGUAAAGCAGUUUCAUAUUUCGCGGACAUAGAUACCUCAAUGCCUGGAUCAGUUUCCUUUUCGGACAUCUUCUGUAGUCAGUCGCACAGCAGAAGCAGUCAGCGGUCAGCCAGCAGUCAGCAGCCGCCAGUCGUCAUUCGCCUCUGUUCGCUUCCUCUGCCUUCGCCAGUAGCAGCCAGCCGACUCCCUAUUCUCCCUCUCCAUCCUCCCUCUCUAUUCUCCCUCUCAGUUCUCCCACUCUACUCUCCCUCUCAAUUCUCAUCGCUUGUGUAUGUGCCUGUGCUGAAUACACUAUUUAAACCCAGA